UACGAGGGGGGCGAGCGUUGUUCGGAAUUAUUGGGCGUAAAGGGUGCGUAGGCGGUUUGGUAAGUCUGAUGUGAAAUCUAUGGGCUCAACUCAUAGUCUGCAUCGGAAACUGCCGGGCUUGAGUGUGGGAGAGGUGAGUGGAAUUCCUGGUGUAGCGGUGAAAUGCGCAGAUAUCAGGAGGAACACCGGUGGCGAAGGCGGGUCUCUGGGCAGUAACUGACGCUGAGGAGCGAAAGCGUGGGGAGCGAACAGG
rnacentral:rRNA from 1 species